rnacentral:piRNA from 1 species
UGAAUUGAGUCCUUUCUAUGGGA